rnacentral:rRNA from 1 species
AGAGUUUGAUCCUGGCUCAGGACGAACGCUGGCGGCGCGCCUAACACAUGCAAGUCGAACGAGCGAGAGAGAGCUUGCUUUCUCAAGCGAGUGGCGAACGGGUGAGUAACGCGUGAGGAACCUGCCUCAAAGAGGGGGACAACAGUUGGAAACGACUGCUAAUACCGCAUAAGCCCACGACCCGGCAUCGGGUAGAGGGAAAAGGAGCAAUCCGCUUUGAGAUGGCCUCGCGUCCGAUUAGCUAGUUGGUGAGGUAAUGGCCCACCAAGGCGACGAUCGGUAGCCGGACUGAGAGGUUGAACGGCCACAUUGGGACUGAGACACGGCCCAGACUCCUACGGGAGGCAGCAGUGGGGAAUAUUGCACAAUGGGGGAAACCCUGAUGCAGCGACGCCGCGUGGAGGAAGAAGGUCUUCGGAUUGUAAACUCCUGUUGUUGAGGAAGAUAAUGACGGUACUCAACAAGGAAGUGACGGCUAACUACGUGCCAGCAGCCGCGGUAAAACGUAGGUCACAAGCGUUGUCCGGAAUUACUGGGUGUAAAGGGAGCGCAGGCGGGAAGACAAGUUGGAAGUGAAAUCCAUGGGCUCAACCCAUGAACUGCUUUCAAAACUGUUUUUCUUGAGUAGUGCAGAGGUAGGCGGAAUUCCCGGUGUAGCGGUGGAAUGCGUAGAUAUCGGGAGGAACACCAGUGGCGAAGGCGGCCUACUGGGCACCAACUGACGCUGAGGCUCGAAAGUGUGGGUAGCAAACAGGAUUAGAUACCCUGGUAGUCCACACUGUAAACGAUGAUUACUAGGUGUUGGAGGAUUGACCCCUUCAGUGCCGCAGUUAACACAAUAAGUAAUCCACCUGGGGAGUACGACCGCAAGGUUGAAACUCAAAGGAAUUGACGGGGGCCCGCACAAGCAGUGGAGUAUGUGGUUUAAUUCGACGCAACGCGAAGAACCUUACCAAGUCUUGACAUCCUGCGACGGUGCUGGAAACAGUACUUUCCUUCGGGACGCAGAGACAGGUGGUGCAUGGUUGUCGUCAGCUCGUGUCGUGAGAUGUUGGGUUAAGUCCCGCAACGAGCGCAACCC